GUAGAGCAUUAGUCCACAAUACACUGGCUGAAGCAGACUGCUGAAGGGUUCAAAACCCUACAAAGGUACUAUGAUGUGAAGGAGAAAAAGGAAACACUAGAAAUGCCAUUUUGGUUCUGGAAUAGACAUAAAAGAGCCAGAAGGGAGGCCGAGCGUAAACUAAGAAAAGCAGAAGAAGCAAGAAUGCAAGCUGAAGAAAAACUAAAAGCUGCUGAAGCACAACAGCAUGCGAUACAAGCACAGCAACUUGUGAUGCAAGCUCAAAUGGCUAGAUUAAGAGAACAACAACGGCUAGUGGAGGAAAAACAAAGAAUUGAAAGAAUGAGGCAAGAAGAAAAGAAGAAAAUGGACAUGGAGAACAGAGCCAAAGAAGAAGAAGAAAAGAAAAGAAUUCACCAACACCUUAAGAAAUGAUAUAUCACUAUAAAUCAUUGCAAUGUGCUCUUGUUAUUUUAUCUAAUCAAAAUAAGUACACCAGUUUCAACUUCAUUUUUAAGUUACAUAAGAUCUGAAUUGAUUUUUCAACUGACUUCAGUUAAAUGCAUUUAACUCAAUAACAACUGAUUCAAAUGAACAAUACUUUUUGUUACAAGAAAACAACAACUACUGAUUCCCAUUUCUUUAAUAUUCGAAUUUCUCUCUUGAAUUACAAUCUAUAUUAAAGUUUAAACAUUGUUAUUUCAAAUGUAUAGAAAAUGUAUAUGUCAACAUAAGAAAAAAGCAAUUGAUGCCACUAAAUAAAAAAACAAUUGUUUUCUAUCUUUUAAUACCUACAAAUUACCUAGACUAAAUUAAACAAUCUGAUCUGGAACAACUUAUGAUAUUGUACAUGAAUUACUAUAACGCAUGGACACAGAAAAAUAAUGUAUAGAAAAAAUACAAUAAUAUACCUCAUGCUAAUCUACUCUGGAAAGUCACCUUGACACAUGAAAACAAUUACCUAUUGUUUUCAUUAUAUUGUAUUAAUAAAGCAUUGUUGUUUUAUAAUGCACUCUGCUUUUAUACACCGUCAAUGAUUCACUGACAAUAAAACCGGUUUUAUUUUAA